rnacentral:lncRNA from 1 species
GACAUUAUAGAAGAGUGAGCAGACAUUUUUACAAGGUCACUUCAUUCAGACUGGAAAGUGGCCAGCACAAUGUCAUUAUUUACAACAGGAUCUGGGAACACUUGAGGAAAUUACAGACCAUUUAGUUUUGAUUCCAUUGUGGGGGGCAAAGUCUUAGGAAGUAUUUUAGGAGAUUAAAUGGGGAACACUGAGAAAAGCACAGCUUGAUUAAGGAUAGCCAAUGCAGUCUCUGGAAUGAAAAAGUCAUGCUUCGAUAAUUUUUUGACUUCUUUAAGGAAGUAAAUGCCAAGAAAAGCAAAUGAAUGCCUCAAAAUUCUCUAUUCUAAAUAUCCAGGAGAUGCUUAUUAAAGUUUUGCUUUGAUCAAUUAGCAUGUACAAAGAAGUAUUUCUUAAAAUUGGAGAAAUGCAAAAGAUUAAUUGUCCAUUCAAUGGUUUUUAGAAUGGGAAGGAAUCAGGGAAAGAUAUCUUAGGACCCAAAGAAUUUUAUUGAGACAAAACAUAUAAUAGUAUUUACUACCAGCAUCAACAGUAUAUUUUUGUACAUUGAUUAUGUAGCUGAACAAGCAAUGGAAAAAAUGGAAAUACCUGAUUUUAAAGAAUAUAUAGUUUAAUUAAAAAAACCCCACCAAUUCUGAAACAUUUAAAUAAAGAACUUAGGCAAACAACAAAAAAUAAGGCUGACUCAGACUGCUAGCAAUGAGGAAAACAUGUUUUUAAAACAUGGGAUCAGCAGUUCUCUUUGGAACAAGAACUUCUCCUUGGCCAAAGUAUCUUUAGUGGAGGAGCAAAACCUUGUAACCAUCAAAGGAAUAUCAAGCCAGGGCAUUUGCUAAGCUUGGAGAGGAUCUGUCUGGGAGGUCAUACAGGUUCCCAGUCUAGGUGGAAAG